rnacentral:rRNA from 1 species
UACGUAGGGGGCUAGCGUUGUCCGGAAUCAUUGGGCGUAAAGAGCGUGUAGGCGGUCCGGUAAGUCCGCUGUGAAAGUCGGGGGCUCAACCCUCGAAUGCCGGUGGAUACUGUCGGGCUAGAGUGCGGAAGAGGAGAGUGGAAUUCCUGGUGUAGCGGUGAAAUGCGCAGAUAUCAGGAAGAACACCCGUGGCGAAGGCGGCUCUCUGGGACGGUACUGACGCUGAGACGCGAAAGCGUGGGGAGCGAACAGG